GUGUUAUAUCAAAGAAAAGCUGUUUAGCACUAUCCUAGAUAAGGAUGGACAUUUUUAUGACAUGUUUAUUACAAAAUAUAUUCAGCGGUAUUUUAUUUU